rnacentral:lncRNA from 1 species
UUUUUACCACAAUAGUUUGGUGCCGUUUGUGGGAACGACAGUUCUCAACCUUCUAUGCACUUGCGCAGCCGUUGGUUACCCAGACCAAGUGCCAGCAGCCCUCUGGAUAAUAGAGCCCGUCCUAUGGCCAAUACCAGUCAAGCUCCAGAUCUAGAGGGCCUCCACCGUGAGAUACACAGAAUGGCCGAACAAAUGAGAGUGAUGAACAAAAAUAAUGCCCGCUUGAUACAACUCCUCGCCACAACCAAUCUGCCACCUCCGUCCACACCUCCCAUUCCGGAUAUCGAGCGAUCUCAUCGAUCUCGUCGCUCGAGAGACAACUAUUCCCAAAACCAUAGUACUGGCUGAGAGCGAAGAGAGCGACGUCGCUAGCCAAGUCCUGCUCUUUCCCGACGUGAAAUGAGCUUAUCUUUGUCAGAAUCUAGGUCAUCCAGCAAAACUCCGAGAGUAGAGGGUGAAGCAGUAAAGAGAAGGAGAUCCCCUCGCAGAAACAAUCAGGCCAGGUGCCGGAAUAUGUUUACCUCUAAAAAAAUCCAAGAUCUGGAUGCCUGCCUCGACGCCAUCAAUACGGGGACAGGCGUUCCAGUGAUAGUGGAUACUCUGGUAAGACAAACUGAACCCCCAUUCAUGGAAAGGCUAUUGAGGGCUAGGGUUUCUUCCAAAUUCAAACUACCCACCUAGCUCGGAAUUCCGGGGAGGGGGGGGAAGACAGAUCUAUGAAUAUUUAAGAUUCAUUACAAGAGCCUUGAUGUCACUUCAGGUGUUCCGAUUUCAAUGUUUAAAAACCGAAAACCCGGAGUUUGAACCGAACAAAAGUACCGAUGCACGGGUCACCGGUUCAACCGUCGGGUUAAACCGUUACGAAUCCGUGACGUCAUAAAUUAUUUAUAAUAGAUAAAAAAAAAAAAUAAUUAGGCGUUAAUUGCCAAUAAUGUUUAAACAUUGUGGAGUUAAGUGAGUUAUGUUGAAAGUGUGAGGUCUAAAGUGUGAUUAAACUAAAAAAAAUAAACACCUCUCAAUCGGGCAUGUUUCAAUCCGGUUCCACUGAUAGGUUAAUAGCGAUUUACCAGUUCAACCGCUGUCACGCCCCGAUAGAUCAAGACCAGACCAUGAUGUACUCAAAUUAUUCAAAUGUGAAAAAAGUAACCCCAAAAUGACAUCUAGACGCUUAUGGACAUUUUUAGAAGUAUUAUGUAGUAUGAUAUGAAAAUCCAAAACCAAAAAAAAAAAAAAAAAAAAAAUUUUUUUUUUUCGCUGGAGGAACAGUACCAGCGAGGAUUCCAGCGACAAUCCGCUGAACUCUGUGGAAAAAAAAACAAGCUCUCAGCUUCUCCCAAGGAGGACCCCUUUUUUUUUCGCUGGAUGAACAAUAACAGCGCGGACCCAGCGAGGUCUGUGGAAAAAAAAACAAGCUCUGGACUUUCUUCCAGCGAGGAGUCCAACGAAACCCUCGCGCUCCCGUUAGGAUCCGCGAGUAGAGGAUCCAGCGAGCUCCGCCAGCCGACGGAUUUCGACCAAAUUCUAAUUAGGUAUCCGAUGACCUGAUUUUUGAUGCGUUGGAAAGAAGACUUCAAGAUCUACCACUUUGUCUCUAAUAAGAAUUUUCUAAUCCGAACUCUAAGAUGGUUCAAAUCGAUAUGAAGAGUAAGUUAAAUUUUAUGGACAUUUCAAUCAAACUUUCUUAACUCAAACCUGCCAAAUGUGCUCAAAAAAACCCUUUCCCAAUGUUAAUAUCAUCCUUUCUAAUAUGUUAUAGUGAGUCAUACACUCACAAGACAUUAAACACAAUGUGUCAUAAGGCAAGACCUAAAACCAAAAGAAUGUAUACUUUAACGCAUAACAUUUCUAGUAUUUCAUCAAAUUACAUGUGACAAAUGUCCACACAAGGACCAUGCUCUUCCAUUGAGCUAUCAAUUACAAAAUAUAGAUGAUAAUCCAUGGACAAUGCCACACAAGGGUCCAAAACAAUAUACACUUUUUCCAAAAAUACCAUAAACAAGUUUUCUAAGCCAAAAGAAAACAAAACGGCAAGCCACAUGCCUCAAGAUUUCGGGUACACCUCGGUACCUGAAAUUCAUAUUUGUUAUAAAGGUGAGUUACCUUGAAAAGAUUUAAAACAAGACUUGAAUCUCAAGCCAAAAACCAUGAUUCAUUACUAUACCUUGAAAAACAUAAAAGUCAUAAUUUGCGUUUUCCACAUAUCAAAUACAUUUUUGAUUUCCAAAACCAUGAUUAUUUCAAUUCAAUGAUUUCACACAUUCAAGGCUUCUCUAAAAAAGCGAUAGUUCAAUCAUUUGAAAACAUACCUAGGUUAAACACUAGUCAACUCCUUUCAUCUAACCAACAUGACCACACCCGUCAAACUCCGGGACUCUCACCGUGGGCUAUGACAUUUCCCGCCGUUUGUUGCCAUCUAGGACUUAGUUUGUCAACCUUCUGAAGGACUUCCACCGUGGGCUAGACAUUCCCUCCGUAUUGUUGCCAUCUAGACUUAGAGUUUCGUUCAACUUCCCGGAACUUUCACCGUGGGCUAUUACUUCCUCCGAUUGUCACCUUUCCGGACUUUCACCGAGGGCUAUGGACUUUCCCUCCGUAUUGUCAACUUUCCGGACUUUCACGAGGGCUAUGAUAUUCCCCUCCGUAUUUGGUGCCAUCUAGGACUUUAAUUUUGUCUAGUUUCUAGACUUCAUAAACUAUACCACCAUCAACAGGUUUCAUCUUACACCCAAACUUAUUUCUAUCAACUUUCUAUUCAACAAUCACAAUUCAUGGUAUAAAUACUAUCACAUUUACCACUAAUCCAAAUGCAACCCAUAUCGUUCAUACAUACAAUAUUGGAACAAAUGGGCAAUUUUGAAUGAAUUUACCAUCAAAUAAUUUUCAUAAAUGUUGAUUGAAUAUUUAAUAGCAACAAUGUUAUCCUCAAAUAACAUACCUUUAAACAAUGAUUCGACUAUUUCGAACUUUACAUUGGUAUUCAUAGAAUUGAAAACCAUAUCCAUCAAAAAAAUUAUAUUUUCUUGGUUAAGAUUCAUCACUCAAAAUAGUGCCUCAAAUGGGCUAUAUACUAGCAUUCAAUACCAACCAAAAACUAAACCCCACAAGGAAAAAUCCCCCUACCUCAAAUCUAAAUCUAUGGAAGAAAGAAAGCUCCAAAGAAAAGAAAUGGUUGAGAAUGUGGGUGCGAGAGACCUGAUUUUCACUGAUCCGAUCCUUUAAUAUUUUAGCUCUACGCGUAGCCAUCGCCGAGUUGACAACAAUCUUUUUCAAAGCACUAUCAACCCAACUCUCACCCUAGUUCACUAGUCUAGGUUAAAGUAUAAACCCUCUUUUUUGAGUUCUUAGCUUUAGAGAGAACGAGAGAAAGAAAGAAGAGUUGGAAAAAAAAGGAGUGGCUCUCAUGAGGAGAGAGAAAGAAAAAUAUUUAGUUGUAGAAUUUUUAGGCUUUAAGGGCUUUGUUUGGCUUCUUACAAAACAAUCCAACUUUGGAUCCAAAAAUUAAGCCCACACUCUCAUCCAAAACCCAAUUUCAAGUUAUAUAAAAACCAUAAGAUAUAUAUAGAUAUAUAUAUAUACACGUGGCCAAUAACACGUCAUAAUAAAAAUAAAAAAUUUUGGAACCUUACAACCGCGGAUUGACGAGUUGACCAAAAUAGGUUUAGUAGAAUCGGACCAUUUUCUCGACCGGUUGCGGUUCGACGGUUGGAACCGGGUGGUCGGUCCCGAUUUUAUUUUUAAAACAUUGGUUCAGAUGAGAUGAUGGCAAGGAUUUUUUCUUAGACUUUCAAGGAUCGGCGAGAUCAUGGUAGAAAGCGCCCCUUGGAACCAUAGAUUAUUGGCCGAACCUAAGCCGACUCUUUGUCGCCAAAUUCAUGAGUUGCAGAAUCAGGCAAAAGAAAUUGCUAAACUCGUUACCGUUCACCAAAAAGGAAACAGGGAAACCAGAGAGCUUUUUGAAGGAUUACGUGAAGCGGUUUAACCAAAAGGGGCCAUAUUAGAAGUCAAGAUCCUGAUAAAGUGGUGAUCCGGGGCUAUAUGGAGGGCUCCGGCCCGGCUGUAUUGACUCCCUGUCCAGAUGUGCCCGGACUUAUCCGCUCUCCAAAACAAAGUUGAAAAUACAUCGCCCCCCCACGCGGAGGAACUAGCGAGGCCAAACGUAGGCGGCGAGAAAAGAUAAUCCAAGAGAAAGGAAAACCGAAGUAGGCGAUCUGAAUAUAGAGACGAGGCCGAGAAGCAAAAGGUCAACCGAAUUCAAAGCAGACAAAUGAAAGAUGUCCUCGUACUCCACCUCGCCGUCUAGAAUUGAUUCUGCCCCCUCUCAAUGCUCCCAUCGCCCAAGUGCUCACAAAAAUCAAAUAUGAGAAAUUCAUCAAGUGGCCCGAAAAAAUCAAGACUGAUCCCCAGAAGAGAAACAUGAACAAGUAUUGUGAAUUCCACUGAGACCAUGGGCAUAAUACAGAGGAUUGCUUUCAAUUGAAGGAACAAAUAGCCGACCUCAUCAAGAAGGGAUAUCUGAGGAGAUAUGUUGCUGAUCGCCCAUCACCUAACUCACCAGAAAGAAGGUAUGGUGCCAAUAGGCCAACUACGGGGGAUAUACAGGUGAUCCACGGUAGAUUUGGAUCCGGUGGAUGUUAAAGCUCAUCCAGGAAAAGGCAUGCUAGGAAACCCAAUGACCGAGUUGAUGAGGUAGUCUACAAUCUAUCCUCCUCAGUAGUGGAGACAUUCUUCCCCCCAUUACCUUCAACAAUGACGAUCUUAGAUGUUUACACUUCCCCCACGACGAUGCCUUAGUUGUUUCGGCGGUCAUCGCCAACUUCAAUGUUCAAAGGAUCUUGAUUGACAAUGGGAGUUCAGCGGACAUCUUAUUCGUCUCGGUAUUCGAAAGAAUAAAGAUUGGCCUAGACAAACUGCACCCUUUCCACACUCCUUUGGUCGGCUUUGGAGGAAACAUGACGCACCUACUAGGGUGGAUCAAGUUGCCAGUAACCUUAGGGACGGAGCCCCAUCAAAUCACUAUUUGGCAAGACUUCAUCGUGGUAGACUGCCCUUCGCCCUACAACGCAAUUCUGGGUCGCCUGACUUUAUGAGGAACUAGGGCCAUCACCUCAUUUUACCACCAAAAAUAAAAUUCCUACUUCAAUAGGAGUGGGCGAGGUUAGGGGAGACCAAAAAGUGGCCAUACAAUGUUUUAUUUCGGCCAAUAGCCCCGAUCGCCCAAUAGCAAUAACAGAUUACAGACGACGAGAUGAAGGCACUGAGGGAUGAGGCGAAACAGAUUACCUUGAUAGACUCCAGAGAAACCGAAAACACCAAACUCCUAGAAGAAGUUGCUCCAAUCUCCAUACACCCGGAUUACCUUGAUCGCCAUGUCAUGAUCGGGACUAAACUUACCGACGAGCUGCAUUCCGCAUUGACAAACUUAUUACAAAAAAAUUUUGACGUCUUUGCUUGGUCACAGGGCGAUGUUCCUGGCAUUGAUUCUCAAGUCACCAUACAUAAGUUAUUCACCAACCCUGAUCAUCCCCCAAUUCACCAACCCUGAUCAUCCCCCAAUUCGCUAAAAAUGAAAAAAAUUGUCCUAAAAUGCCUAAAAAUCAUUGACGAUGAGGUGAAUAAGCUCAUCAAAGCUAAUGUCAUCCGAGAAACUCACUAUCCAAAUUGGCUCGCCAAUGUUGUUGUUGCCCCAAAAAAAGGAGAAAAGUGGAGGGUAUGUGUAGAUUUCAUCGAUCUCAACAAAACUUGCCCAAAAGACAGUUUUCCUUUACCCAAAACUAAUCUGAUAGUUGAUGCCACAUCAAAAUAUGAGCUCCUAAGUUUUAUGGAUGCCUUCUCGGGAUAUCAUCAGAUCAAAAUAUAUCCGCCUGACAUGGAAAAGACGUCUUUCAUCAUGGAGCGAGGACUGUAUUGCUACAAAGUCAUGCCAUUUGGAUUAAAGAAUGCUGGGGUGACAUAUCAGAGAAUGGUGAACAAAAUGUUCAAGGAGCAAAUUGGAAAGAUGAUGGAGGUAUACAUAGAUGACAUGCUGGUUAAGAGCCUCAAAGCAGCUGAUCACAUCACCCACUUGGAAGAACCAUUUGGAGUCUUACGAAAACACAAGAUGACGUUGAACCCUUCCAAGUGCAUUUUUGGAGUGUCAUCUAGGAAAUUCCUCAGAUUUUUGGUAACCAAACGUGGAAUUGAGGCGAACCUCGAUUAGAUUAAAGCCCUUAUCGCAAUGAGCUCGCCUAGAAAUAUCCGUGAAGUUCAGCAACUGACCGGGCGAGUAGCUGCCUUUAAUAGAUUCGUCUCCAAGUUAGCUGACAAAUGUCUCCCAUUAUUCAGAAUUCUGAGAAAGAAUCAAACCUUCUAGUGGAACGACGAAUCUAAAACAACAUUUCAGCAGCUCAAGGAGUAUCUCGGUUCGCCACCCUUGCUAACUGUUCCAACCACAAGCGAAGAACUCUUUGUGUAUCUAUCCAUCUCGCCUACAGUAGUAAGUGUCAUGCUUAUUCGGAAAGAGGAUCGAGCUCAAAAACUGAUAUAUUACGUUAGCAAAGUCCUAAUGGGAGUCGAGACCAGAUAUUUAAAAAUUGAAAAGCUCGUCUAUGCACUUAUGAUCACUGCCAGGAAACUUUACCAUUAUUUUCAAGCUUAUCCCAUCACCGUAUUAACUGAUCAACCGUUGAAGCAAAUUCUCCAACGACCAAACGCUUCCAGGAGACUUCUGAAAUGGUCCAUCGAAUUGAGUGAAUUUCACAUCGAUUAUAAGCCAAGAGCGGCAAUAAAAGCUUAGGCCUUAGUUGGUUUCAUAGUUAAAUCCACGCAUGAAACCAUUCCGGAACUAGAAGCAACUCCUCCCGAAGUGGAAACUACCAAGUAACAAAGCUCAGACGAUCUCGCCAAGUGGAUGUUAUUUGUAGACGGAUCUUUAAAUCAAUACGGCUGCGGGGCAGGACUUGUUUUUCAAACCCUAUCGGGUGAUCAAAUGGAGUAUGCCAUAUGGAUUGGGUUUAAAGCCACCAAUAAUGAAGCCGAAUAUGCAGCUCUUCUCGCCGGUCUUAGAGUGGCAACCGAGCUAGGAGUGGAUUUUCUAGAUAUCUUUAGCGAUUCGCAACUAGUGGUAAAGCAAGUUCAAAGGGAUUACCUCGCCAAAGAUUCGAGAAUGGUGGCUUAUAACGGGACUUACAAUGUGUCAUUCUUUGUCACGCGAUUUAGAGAGGUGCUUUUCCACUUCUCGGCAGGGUUUGACAUGUUUGAGAAUACCGUGCAACGGGGUGAGCCAAAUAGGAUGCUGUUUGAGGAGGAGGUAAUGGGAAGGGAUAUUAUGAAUAUGAUAGCGUGUGAGGGUACAGAGAGGGUGGAGAGGCCGGAAGCGUACAAGCAGUGGCAGGUAAGGAAUGUGCGAGCGGGAUUCAGGCAGCUCCCGCUUGACCGGGAGAUCAUGGGGGAUGUGAAGACUAUGGUGAGGAGGGGUUACAACAAGGAUGAGGACGGUAACUGGUUGUUGCAAGGAUGGAAGGG